GGGCCCGUAGCUCAAGUGGCAGAGCAGCGGACUCAUAAUCCGUGGGUUGUAGGUUCGAGUCCUACCGGGCCCA
rnacentral:tRNA from 2 species